GUUAAAACUUUCAACAACGGAUCUCUUGGUUCUGGCAUCGAUGAAGAACGCAGCGAAAUGCGAUAAGUAAUGUGAAUUGCAGAAUUCAGUGAAUCAUCGAAUCUUUGAACGCACAUUGCGCCCCCUGGUAUUCCGGGGGGCAUGCCUGUCCGAGCGUC
rnacentral:rRNA from 1 species